rnacentral:piRNA from 1 species
AGGGAAAUCUGUAGAUAGUUUUGG